rnacentral:rRNA from 1 species
GACGAACGCUGGCGGCGUGCUUAACACAUGCAAGUCGAACGAGAUCCAAUGUGUAGCAAUCCACAGGAAGGUCUAGUGGCGAACGGGUGAGGAACACGUGAGAAACGUACCCCAGACUUUGGGAUAACAGUCCGAAAGGACUGCUAAUACCAAAUAACGUCGGAAGUCCGCAUGGACAUCUGACGAAAGGGAUUCCGGUUUGGGAGCGUCUCGCGGACCUAUCAGCUAGUUGGAGGGGUAACGGCCCACCAAGGCAACGACGGGUAGCUGGGCUGAGAGGAUGGUCAGCCACACUGGGACUGAGACACGGCCCAGACUCCUACGGGAGGCAGCAGUGGGGAAUCUUGCGCAAUGGGCGAAAGCCUGACGCAGCAACGCCGCGUGCGGGAAGAAGGCUUUCGGGCUGUAAACCGCUUUCAGUAGGAACGAAACUGACGGUACCUACAGAAGAAGGAGCGGCCAACUAUGUG